rnacentral:sRNA from 1 species
UGGUUAGUGAUUUUGCGUAUUUUUUUUUUUAAUUUGUGCAUAAAUUAAUUAUUAAUUCUCGACUUUUGAUAAAUUUAAAUGUUUUUUUUUUUUUUUUUUUGCUUUCAUUAUCCAAUUUAUUUUUUUAAUUUUGCCUGUGUAGGUUAUGUGUAGUUUUCACAAUGAUUAAAAUUAAGAUAAUGAAUUAAUAAAACCUUUUCAGUAUUAGCUAGGAGAGCUCAAAAUUGAAAGACAAAUCAUGUUGGUAAAAAUGAUUGAAAUAAUGAAAAUCUAAAACAUACUUUGUAAAAUUAAUGUAUUCUUUAAUGUGCAAUACACUAAUUAGUACUUUUUUACUUUUAUUAAUGUGGUUUUUUUAAGUGCUUGAAUUUGAUAACUUGUUACAAAAUCAAAACAUUAGGAUUAUAUAUAUUCAUGUAAUAGUUCUGAUGAUAGGCAAUUUACAGAUCAAGUUAUUUGGUGGUCUCUUGAAUCUUUAACUUCUUUUCCCUCUUUUUAUAGUGUCUUAUAUCAAAUGUACAGAUUAUGCGUAUAUAAUUUUGUUCUCUUUAUUAAUCAUAUACACAAAUUUUCUCUUGAAUAAAAGAUUUGGUUGCAUCAUC